AAUUACGAUGGCUUUAAUUCUACUGGUUGCUACUAUUUCAGUGGAGGGUCUUUUUUUACUAUGAAUAUUGUGACAAGUCCAUUGCAUAACCAAAUGGGAAAUCAACGGUUGAGUGAUAGUAUGAUGGUUUAUAUUGAGAACAAUGUUUUUUUUGUUUCCAUUAAUAAUGAAGCUAUGAUGCAGCGUUUUUAAAUUAUGAAAACGCGUCGUGGACAAUUGUAAUUUGUAUUGUUGUUUGUUCUAUAAAUAAUAUAUGAUGCAACUAUGAUUUAAUUAUUAAAGUUAUUAUAUAUCUAAGACAUGUUUGUAAAUUUUUACAUGUGACCUUUCGAAAAACUUUUCUUGGAUCCGUCACUAACCUUAGGACAUUCAAAACAUAUAAGAUCAAAGUUCUCAGGUGAUCACUGCUGCUACUUUCUUGUUGACAGUCAAGAAGGCCAGUUAAGCAUCUGCCUCAUAUGAGAAAGUUACUGUAGCGCAUAAACAUCCAUUUAUAACAGGUUGUGCAUGGGAUGAACGCAAUUCCGAUAAAUGGGUGUUUAUGCACUAUUUGUUACAAAGGAGUGUUGCACAAGAGUUCAUAGUUUGUAUGUUCUAUAAAUAGGUGUUUAUGCAUAAGAAGAACUCAAUCUCUUCUAAAAGCAUCUUCAAACAAGGAAGUUUAUGUAAUACCAGUCUCCCUUGGAUGCAUAAAAACCUAAUAUUGGGUAGUUAUCAAGUUACAAACAAAUAUAGAAUGAUUAUAGGUGCACAAAAACAUAAAAUAAAUAAAGGAUGAUUUUUAAUGGUGGUCGUUCUCUUGCUUUGUAGAGGUGAGCCUUCGUAGUUGUGGUUGAAAAGAGGCUUUUGUCAAGGUUAUGAUUUUUAUUUUUUAUUUUUUGCAUGUACACCUCUUGGUGCCUUAUUGUAGUUCUCUGACUUGGAAUGUUUAGUCAUUAUGACUCGUGAGUGUUAUCUUUCUUGUUGGUUGAACUUGGAUCCUCUGUGAGUAUUAUCUAUCUCCCCCUACUCCUCUAAUAUCCCUUGUACCACCUAAAUUAUUUUUUUUGGGUAAAUUACAUUUUACCCCCUCAGAUUUGGGGUUAAUUUCAAUUUCUUACAACAUUUUAAAAACAUUUCAAUUUCAUACAUCCGUUAGAAAAUCUAUUAAGUAAACCAUGAAGUGAUAAAAGGUCGUACCCAGUGCACAAGGCUCCCGCUUUACGCAGGGUCUGGGAGAG
rnacentral:lncRNA from 1 species